CCUACGGGGAGCAGCAGUGGGGAAUAUUGCACAAUGGGGGAAACCCUGAUGCAGCGACGCCGCGUGAGUGAAGAAGUAUUUCGGUAUGUAAAGCUCUAUCAGCAGGGAAGAAAUAGCGAUCUUUGGGUAGCCAGACGGUACCUGAUUCAGGAGCCCCGGCUAACUACGUGCCAGCAGCCGCGGUAAUACGUAGGGGGCAAGCGUUAUCCGGCUUUACUGGGUGGAAAGGGUGAGUCGACGGCAGCGCAAGUCUGAAGUGAAAUGCCGGGGCUUAACCCCGGAACUGCUUUUGAAACUGUGCAGCUAGAGUGCAGGAGAGGUAAGUAGAAUUCCUAGUGUAGCGGUGAAAUGCGUAGAUAUUAGGAGGAACACCAGUGGCGAAGGCGGCUUACUGGACUGUAACUGACGUUGAGGCUCGAAAGCGUGGGGAGCAAACAGGAUUAGAUACCCCAGUAGUC
rnacentral:rRNA from 1 species